rnacentral:rRNA from 1 species
UACGAAGGGUGCAAGCGUUAAUCGGAAUUACUGGGCGUAAAGCGCGCGUAGGUGGUUUGUUAAGUUGGAUGUGAAAGCCCCGGGCUCAACCUGGGAACUGCAUCCAAAACUGGCAAGCUAGAGUAUGGCAGAGGGUGGUGGAAUUUCCUGUGUAGCGGUGAAAGGCGUAGAUAUAGGAAGGAACACCAGUGGCGAAGGCGACCACCUGGGCUAAUACUGAAACUGAGGUGAGAAAGCGUGGGGAGCAAACAGGAUUAGAUACCGCGAG